GCUCGCUUGGUGUAGCCCGGCCAAUCAUAUCGGCCUUUCGAGCCGAUGACAGGGGUUCAAAUCCCCUAGCGAGCA
rfam:Natronomonas moolapensis 8.8.11 complete genome